rnacentral:rRNA from 1 species
UACGGGGGGAGCAAGCGUUGUUCGGAUUUACUGGGCGUAAAGGGCGCGUAGGCGGCCAGCACAAGUCAGUUGUGAAAUCUCCGGGCUUAACUCGGAAAGGUCAACUGAUACUGUGCGGCUAGAGUGCAGAAGGGGCAACUGGAAUUCUCGGUGUAGCGGUGAAAUGCGUAGAUAUCGAGAGGAACACCUGCGGCGAAGGCGGGUCUCUGGGCCGAUACUGACGCUGAGGAGCGAAAGCGUGGGGAGCGAACAGG